UUGAACGCUGGCGGCAGGCCUAACACAUGCAAGUCGAGCGGAUGAAGGGAGCUUGCUCCUGGAUUCAGCGGCGGACGGGUGAGUAAUGCCUAGGAAUCUGCCUGGUAGGGGGGGAUAACGUCCGGAAACGGGCGCUAAUACCGCAUACGUCCUGAGGGAGAAAGUGGGGGAUCUUCGGACCUCACGCUAUCAGAUGAGCCUAGGUCGGAUUAGCUAGUUGGUGGGGUAAAGGCCUACCAAGGCGACGAUCCGUAACUGGUCUGAGAGGAUGAUCAGUCACACUGGAACUGAGACACGGUCCAGACUCCUACGGGAGGCAGCAGUGGGGAAUAUUGGACAAUGGGCGAAAGCCUGAUCCAGCCAUGCCGCGUGUGUGAAGAAGGUCUUCGGAUUGUAAAGCACUUUAAGUUGGGAGGAAGGGCAGUAAGUUAAUACCUUGCUGUUUUGACGUUACCAACAGAAUAAGCACCGGCUAACUUCGUG
rnacentral:rRNA from 1 species